CCACACUCCACAGAUGAAAGGAGGAAGAAGAAAGUUUCCCUCCGGGGGAGGCCAGGCCAGGUUAGACCCAGAACAUCCUGAUGGACUAUUUAGGUGUGAAAAGCAGAGGCUCAGGGGCUGACCUGGGAGGAGAAGCUGCAGGAAACCCAGCAAGAAAUGCCCAGAGUCUGUCUACCAGAAUUCCACCAUCUGAAGUCCCCGGGGUGCAAAUCCUGUUUGCUGUUAAUUCUUCCAGCUCUCACGUAUGGUGGCUUGUUGUGUCACGUGUUUUGCAAUUUUGCAUUGCGCGUUCCAUCUUUGUCAGAGCUUUAUCCGUGGGAAUCGGUGUGUCUAGGCUGGGAGUCCGUCUCUCCCUGGGGGGUGAGCUUAUACUUCCACGAGGCACCAGAAGACACUCCAAACCCAAGACUGCUUGAAGUUUAGUUCCCAUCUUGCAUGUAGAAUAAAUUCAGAUCCAAAAUA
ensembl:lncRNA FIBCD1-AS1 FIBCD1 antisense RNA 1